ACACAGGUGCUGCAUGGCUGUCCUCAUCUCGUGUCGUGAGAUGUUGGGUUAAGUCCCGCAACGAGCGCAACCCUUGUCUCUAGUUGCUACGAAAGGGCACUCUAGAGAGACUGCCGGUGACAAACCGGAGGAAGGUGGGGAUGACGUCAAGUCCUCAUGGCCCUUAUGGGUAGGGCUUCACCCCUCAUACAAUGGUGCAUACAGAGGGUUGCCAACCCGCGAGGGGGAGCCAAUCCCAAAAAAUGCAUCGUAGUCCGGAUCGUAGUCUGCAACUCCACUACUUGAAGUUGGAAUCGCUAG
rnacentral:rRNA from 1 species